GAAGCUGGAUUCGCUAGUAAUCGCGCAUCAGCCAUGGCGCGGUGAAUACGUUCCCGGGCCUUGUACACACCGCCCGUCAAGCCAUGGGAGCCGGGAGCGCUUGAAGUGCGUCGCCGCGAGGCGCGCCCUAGAGCGAGACCGGUGACUGGGGCUAAGUCGUAACAAGGUACC
rnacentral:rRNA from 1 species